CCAUUCAUCAACUGACAGACACUUGAGUUGUUUCCACUUUUUGGCUAUUAUUCUAAUUUCAACACAUCCUCACCAACACUUGUUACUGUCUUUUUUAUUAUAUCCUAGUGGGUAAAAAGUGUUACCUCAUUGUAGUUUUGAUUUGCAUUGCCCUGAUAAUGAUGUUGAGCAUUGUUUCAGGUGUAUAUUGGCCAUUGAACUGUGGACUAUACAAAUAAUAUGUUCAAAUCCUUUGUCCAUUUUUUGUUUGUUUGUUUGUUUUGAGAGAGGGUCUCACCCUGUCACCCAGGCUGGAGUGCAGUGGCACGAUCUUGGCUCACUGCAACCUCUGCCUCCCAGGUUUCAGCAAUUCUUAUGCCUCAACCUCCUGAGUAGCUAGGAUUACAGUCAUGUGCCACCACACCCGGCUAAUUUUUGUAUUUUUUUAGUAGAGACAGGGUUUUGCCAUGUUGGCCAGGUGUGGUAGUACAUGCCUAUAGUCCUAGCUACUCAGGAGGCUGAGGUGGGAGGAUCACGUAAGCCUGGAAGGCAGAGGUUGCAUGAGCCAAGAUCAUGCCACUGCACUCCAGCCUGGGUGACAAAGGGAUACUCUGUCUCAAAAAAAAA
rnacentral:lncRNA from 1 species